GCGUAGGGUACGUAGGCGGAUAUUUAAAAAUAUUGUAAAAGACUGAGGAAUAACCUCUUUAAUCAAUGUUAACUGAAUAUCUUGAAUUUUAAAGGCGGUUUAUUGAAUUCUUGAAGCAAGGGUGAAAUUGAUGAUAUUGGAAGACAUUCGAUAGCGAAAGCAUUAUCCGAUUUAAAUUUGACGCUAGGUACGAAAGUAUGGGGAUAAAUAGGAUUAGAGACCUAGUAGUCCAUACCUUAAACAAUGAGUAUUCAACAUCUUUUAAUGUAUAAUAUCAACUUAUAUAUUAUCUGUGGUUUAAAGCUAACGCGAGAAAUACCGCCUGGGAAAUGUGGCCGCAAGGUUAAACUCAAAGGAAUUGACGGAGACUUAUACAAGG
rnacentral:rRNA from 1 species